UCCUACGGGAGGCAGCAGUGGGAAUAUUGCACAAUGGGGGAAACCCUGAUGCAGCGACGCCGCGUGAAGGAUGAAGUAUUUCGGUAUGUAAACUUCUAUCAGCAGGGAAGAAAAUGACGGUACCUGACUAAGAAGCCCCGGCUAACUACGUGCCAGCAGCCGCGGUAA
rnacentral:rRNA from 1 species